rnacentral:lncRNA from 1 species
UCUCGGUAAAAGACACAGUCCAUCAGGAAGUGGCGUUCAUUUUCAACAUCACGUGAGUCACACAUUUUGCAAAUGCGGUCAGCUUCUGCUUCUCCGACGAACCGUCCGGUUUCGAUCCUCAAAGGAAGUAUGCCGCAUCUAAAUUGUGCCAGUAUAGAACGUUCAGAACGAGAGAGGUUCAGUCCAACAUAUGUUUCACAUUUAUAUUCUGAUUUGAAUGUUUUAUAUGUCCGCAAUUUCGGAAAGUUUGUAAUAGAGUUUUCCCAUUCAGUGGAACACAACAUGAAAAGUCUGUCUUUUACAAGAGAAAUAUCACAAGUUUGUUUUUGGUGGAAAUAAUCUUCCAAGUCAAUGUGUGACAAAAUAAGUUUAAUAUCUGAUGACCAAUUGUUCAAACACCGUUCAAGGUCCCAGUUGAAAACCUGUUUACAUACGCGUGAAUCGUCCAUUCGAAUAAGCUUGUUCCAUAGUCUAAUUAUAUUGUACCAGUGUCUUUCUUUACAUGGCAGCCAUCCAACAUCACCAUUUGUAGCAACUUUCGGGCGAAUUUAUGAACACCUAAGAAAUAACGAAUGGCUUUGUUUUGUACCAAGUUAACACAUGCAUAGUCUUUAAAACCCCAGACAGAUGAGUUAUAGUCUAAAAUCGGUACGACACAUGAUGUAAACAGCUUUUCAAAUGUCUUUAUUCCAAAAUUCUUAAGAUUAUGAAUUUUUGAAAUAAUUCCACCGAGUGCUCGCCCUCCAGCUUCCGACAGUCUCUCUGCAUUCACUUUAUAGUCUUUAAAUUCAUGGAACAUAACACCCAGAUAUUUGUACUUGUCGACAGUCUGUAAUGAAUUUCCUCCAAUUUUAAACUUGUAUUCUGAUCGUUUUAUACGAGAUUGGCGGAAAUGAACUACUUUCGAUUUCUCAGUGUUGAUAAGUACUCGCCAUCGCUUACACCAG